rnacentral:rRNA from 1 species
UAGAGUUCGAUCCCGGCUCGGACGAGCGCUGGCGGCGCGCCAAACACGCAAGUCGAACGAGAGAUGAGGGGCUUGCUCUUAAAUCGAGUGGCGAACGGGUGAGUAACGCGUGAGGAACCUGCCUCAAAGAGGGGGACAACAGUUGGAAACGAUGCUAAUACCGCAUAAGCCCACGGCUCGGCAUCGAGCAGAGGGAAAAGGAGCAAUCCGCUUUGAGAUGGCCUCGCGUCCGAUUAGCUAGUUGGUGAGGUAAUGGCCCACCAAGGCGACGAUCGGUAGCCGGACUGAGAGGUUGAACGGCCACAUUGGGACUGAGACACGGCCCAGACUCCUACGGGAGGCAGCAGUGGGGAAUAUUGCACAAAUGGGGGAAACCCUGAUGCAGCGACGCCGCGUGGAGGAAGAAGGUCUUCGGGAUUGUAAACUCCUGUUGUUGAGGAAGAUAAUGACGGUACUCAACAAGGAAGUGACGGCUAACUACGUGCCAGCAGCCGCGGUAAAACGUAGGUCACAAGCGUUGUCCGGAAUUACUGGGUGUAAAGGGAGCGCAGGCGGGAGAACAAGUUGGAAGUGAAAUCCAUGGGCUCAACCCAUGAACUGCUUUCAAAACUGUUUUUCUUGAGUAGUGCAGAGGUAGGCGGAAUUCCCGGUGUAGCGGUGGAAUGCGUAGAUAUCGGGAGGAACACCAGUGGCGAAGGCGGCCUACUGGGCACCAACUGACGCUGAGGCUCGAAAGUGUGGGUAGCAAACAGGAUUAGAUACCCUGGUAGUCCACACCGUAAACGAUGAUUACUAGGUGUUGGAGGAUUGACCCCUUCAGUGCCGCAG